rnacentral:rRNA from 1 species
ACACGACUACAUUAGAUACCCCUGUAGUCCAGGGUGUAAACGCUGCAGACUUGGUGUUGGAAGUCCUUUGGGGGCAUUCAGUGCCGGAGAGAAGUUGUUAAGUCUGCUACUUGGGGAGUACGUCCGCAAGGAUGAAACUUAAAGGAAUUGGCGGGGGAGCACCGCAACGGGAGGAGCGUGCGGUUUAAUUGGAUUCAACACCGUAAACUCACCAGGGAAGACUGUUACAUGAAAGCCGAGAUGAAGACUCUGCUAGAUUUUCAG